rnacentral:rRNA from 1 species
AGAGUUUGAUCCUGGCUCAGGAUGAACGCUGGCGGCGUGUCUAAGGCAUGCAAGUCGAACGGGCGCUAUCCGGUAGCAAUACUGGAUAUCGCUAGUGGCAAACGGGUGAGUAACACACUGGUAACCUGCCUUCGAGUCGGGCACAACUAGCCGAAAGGCGAGCUAUUCCCGAUAGUCAUGAGGGGUCAUAAGACAUUCUCAUGUAAAGGAGCAAUCCGCUUGAAGAGGGGCCUAUGCCUCAUCAGCUAGUUGGUAGGGUAACGGCCUACCAAGGCUACGACGAGUAGCGGGUGUGGGAGCAUGACCCGCCUCAUGGGAACUGAGACACUGUCCUAACACCUACGGGUGGCUGCAGUCGAGAAUCUUCCCCAAUGGACGAAAGUCUGAGGGAGCGACGCCGCGUGCAGGAAGAAGCUCUUCGGGGCGUAAACUGCUUUUAUACGGGAACAAGUUCUGAGUGUACCGUACGAAUAAGGACCUGCUAAACUCGUGCCAGCAGCAGCGGUAAUACGAGUGGUCCAAGCGUUAUCCGGUUUUAUUGGGCGUAAAGGGUCCGCAGGCGGCCCGGUAAGUCGUGUGUUAAAUCCUGGUGCUCAACAUCAGGGCUGCGCACGAUACUAUCGGGCUUGAGGCUGGGAGAGGUACCUGGAAUUGCCGGUGUAGCAGUAAAAUGCUUUAAUAUCGGCAGGAACACCAAAAGCGAAGGCAGGGUACUGGAACAGUUCUGACGCUCAGGGACGAAAGCGUGGGGAGCGAAGCGGAUUAGAUACCCGCGUAGUCCACGCCGUAAACGAUGGAUGCUAGGUAUUGGGAGUAUCGACCCUCUCAGUGCCGUUUACGAAAGAUAACUCGUUAAGCAUCCCGCCUGGGAAGUACGGCCGCAAGGCUAAAACUUAAAGGAAUUGACGGGAAUCUGCACAAGCGGUGGAGCAUGUGGUUUAAUUCGACGACAAGCGAGGAACCUUACCAGGGUUUGACAUCCAGCGAACUCACCAGAAACGGAGAGGUGCCUGCAAGGGAACGCUGAGACAGGUGCUGCAUGGUCGUCGUCAGCUCGUGUUGUGAAAUGUCGAGUUAAGUCUUUUAACGAGCGCAACCCUCAUCUCGUGUUGCAUUGAUCACGAGAAACUGCCUGGGUUAACCAGGAGGAAGGCGAGGAUGACGUCAGAUCAGCAUGGCUCUUACGCCCUGGGCCACACACAUGCUACAAUGGCCACGACAACGGGUCGCCAAGUCGCGAGACGGAGCUAAUCCCUUAAACGUGGCCCCAGUUCGGAUUGGAGGCUGCAACUCGCCUCCAUGAAGCCGGAAUCGCUAGUAACCGCGCAUCAGCCAUGGCGCGGUGAAUACGUUCUCAGAUUUUGUACACACCGCCCGUCAAGCCAAGGGAGCCGGUAGUACCUGAAGUGCCUCGUGCGAGGACCUAGGGUAAGACUGGUAACAAGGGCUAAGUCGUAACAAGGCA